rnacentral:rRNA from 1 species
GACGAACGCUGGCGGCGUGCCUAAUACAUGCAAGUAGAACGCUGAAGGAAGGAGCUUGCUCUUUCCGGAUGAGUUGCGAACGGGUGAGUAACGCGUAGGUAACCUGCCUGGUAGCGGGGGAUAACUAUUGGAAACGAUAGCUAAUACCGCAUAACAGUAGAUAUCGCAUGAUAGCUGCUUGAAAGGUGCAAUUGCACCACUACCAGAUGGACCUGCGUUGUAUUAGCUAGUUGGUGAGGUAACGGCUCACCAAGGCAACGAUACAUAGCCGACCUGAGAGGGUGAUCGGCCACACUGGGACUGAGACACGGCCCAGACUCCUACGGGAGGCAGCAGUAGGGAAUCUUCGGCAAUGGACGGAAGUCUGACCGAGCAACGCCGCGUGAGUGAAGAAGGUUUUCGGAUCGUAAAGCUCUGUUGUAAGAGAAGAACGAGUGUGAGAGUGGAAAGUUCACAC